UGGGGAAUUUUGGACAAUGGGCGAAAGCCUGAUCCAGCAAUGCCGCGUGUGUGAAGAAGGCCUUCGGGUUGUAAAGCACUUUUGUCCGGAAAGAAAUCCUUGGCUCUAAUACAGUCGGGGGAUGACGGUACCGGAAGAAUAAGCACCGGCUAACUACGUGCCAGCAGCCGCGGUAAUACGUAGGGUGCAAGCGUUAAUCGGAAUUACUGGGCGUAAAGCGUGCGCAGGCGGUUUGCUAAGACCGAUGUGAAAUCCCCGGGCUCAACCUGGGAACUGCAUUGGUGACUGGCAGGCUAGAGUAUGGCAGAGGGGGGUAGAAUUCCACGUGUAGCAGUGAAAUGCGUAGAGAUGUGGAGGAAUACCGAUGGCGAAGGCAGCCCCCUGGGCCAAUACUGACGCUCAUGCACGAAAGCGUGGGAGCAAACAGGAUUAGAUACCCUGGUAGUCCACGCCCUAAACGAUGUCAACUAGUUGUUGGGGAUUCAUUUCCUUAGUAACGUAGCUAACGCGUGAAGUUGACCGCCUGGGGAGUACGGUCGCAAGAUUAAAACUCAAAGGAAUUGACGGGGUCAUAGCUGUUUCCU
rnacentral:rRNA from 1 species